UACGGAGGGUGCAAGCGUUAAUCGGAAUUACUGGGCGUAAAGCGCGCGUAGGCGGCUAGAUAAGUCGGAUGUGAAAGCCCCGGGCUCAACCUGGGAACUGCAUACGAUACUGUCUGGCUAGAGUAUGAGAGAGGGAGGUAGAAUUCCACGUGUAGCGGUGAAAUGCGUAGAUAUGUGGAGGAAUACCGGUGGCGAAGGCGGCCUCCUGGCUUAAUACUGACGCUGAGGUGCGAAAGCGUGGGGAGCAAACAGG
rnacentral:rRNA from 1 species